rnacentral:lncRNA from 1 species
GAAUUUUUAAAAUAUUUUAAUUUGUAUAUAUAACUUCAAAUUUAGAACACUCAGUAUGAACAAGAACUAUUCUCUGACAAAGAUGUGAAAUGGGGGAGUGAAUUACUGUACAGGUGCAUAUCAACCUCUCCAUGCAAUUUACAUCUGUAUCUUAUGCAAUGAGAAACUGGUUUACACAGCUCCGUAACUGCAGUAUUUUUUAACACCCCAUUUUGCAGUCUCAGAAUACUUUUCAAUUAAACUGGUCGACAUGUUUAAAGAUGAGAAAUAAGAUGUUUGCAUUGUAAAGUUGAGUAAUAGCUAAUAAAUGCACACUUCCUUCCAUUAAUAUAAAUCUGGAACAAUUUAUGGUAAACAAAAAUCUAUCCGCGUUAUCAGUAAUCUAACAGUGCAUACUUUUACUGAACACUUCCUGUGAGCCAGGCCUCGUAGUAAACAUCUGAACAUGCAAUUUCACAUUCAGUGUGGAAUAAGAAGUGUCAUAGGUUCGCGUGUUUUUCACAACUGAUUAUGAUGUCCAUGAUGACAGCGUGCACUAAGCGCUGUGUCCAACCAACCCUUUACCUGGCAUUUUAGCCAGCAAGACCCGCUUGCAUUGCAGUCGUUCACGGUGCUCGCUGGCACAAUUUUAGAAUGUUACAUGAAUACUCAGGCCUGACUAACCUUCCCCUCCAAAAAACAACAAAACAGAACAAGGCUAAGCCUUUACUACUCAGAGACACAUCUGUAAGACCCCACAGGGACAAGAAAAGUAGCUGUGAUCUAGGUCUGCACUAAAGCUGCCUUUCCUGGCACUCAGAAGUGCCCUUCCAGGCCUAACUGCAGAAGGGUGGCCUCAGCCUCCUCCUCCUCCUCCUUGGCUUCCUCCUCACGGAUCUGCACCAGCAACUGAAAGAGGUUUGGGGCUGGCCCUUCCCCAGCCCCGGUAAGCCACAGCUGCCUUCGGAUGGCCCCGCUGUGGUUGGCCCCGGCAAUGACCUGCUCUAGGCGGGCCUGGUUCACAUUAUCUUUAUCAAUGGCCCCCUUCUCUACCACCUUCUGUAGCAGAGGCUCCAGACGAAUGACAUAAGCAGACAAUUUUUCUCCCGGGUUCUGAUAAGUGUUCAGAAAUUUGAUCUGGGCAUCCCUAGAGCUCUCAACGCUCCCAAACACCUGCUCAAGCGCCUUCAGGCAUUCGGCAGUGGUUAUCGCGGGGUUGUUGGACUUAAGGAUGCGAAUAACAUCAGCGGCGGGGCCUCUAAGACUCUCCAUCAACCGCCGCCUCUUUUCUACAUCGGACACCUGCCACUCCUCUAGGACCUCAUUAGUGUGCUCCAGCCAGGGAUCAAAGGUUUCCUCUCCAGGCCCUGGGAUGUCCCUCCCCGAGAAAAGUGUCAGCCUCUUGUACCAUAUGGACUCAACAAGAGGCUGAAUAACAUUAUCCAAAAUAUAGUUUAGCAUCUCUGCUGGCAUCUCUGGGCCCGGGGUCGGAGUAGGGUUCUGAAACCCAAGGACACGGGCAACAUCUUGCACGGUCCACCCCUCUCUAGCUAGGAAGAGGUGCAAUCUUUCUAAAAAUUCAGCAUCAGAAGUUGGGGGCUUAAAUAACACUUUCCAGACCCCUCCUUUGCCCGGCAUCUCCCUGGGGAUCGCGGCGUAAUCUACAGCGCCAGUGAGCUCUAAUAAGGCUGCUUUCGCAUUUUCUUCCCUCCAGAACAUUCUCCCAAGCAUUCGGUAGGAGACCUGGGGCAUCGCAGCCUGGAGGGUCUCUUCGAUUUCAGCCUCAUCACAGUUCACUGGGAUGCCCCAGACUAACAGAGCUCUCUGGGAGUUCACAUCCAUCCCCCGGCACCAGUCUUCCAACAGUGUCAUCGCCAUUUUCUCAACUAUCAAGACGCCAAAUUCUACCAACAGACUGUGGCUCACCGUGCUCCUGGCCUUAGAACAAUACCAGACACUCCCACCAAGUAGGCCCGAGGGAGGCGACCUUCAUGCAGUCACGAUUAACAAAGACAGAGUCCUGAUCUCGCCCUUCUCUGCCCCCACAGUCAGUCCGUAGGUGCACUCGGAGCCGAGCUCGGGGACGCUGAGGCAGUCACGCGGCCGUCGCCAUCUUGCGUCUGGGUCUGGGUCCGGUCGGGUCCGCCGCCUGCAGCAGGGGCGUCGCGUCGUCGUGCAGCGGGCGAGGAGCGACGGCGGGCGGCGAAGGCAGGCGCGCUGGGCCGAGAGCCGCCGGGGUGUGGUCGCGGGGCGUGGCCGCCGGGCGCUCGCUGCGGCUCCUGGAGAGGAUCGGGCGUUCGCGGUCGCAGCCUGGUCUUCCCGCGGGCGAGGAGCGGCCGUUUGGGAGACUAGCCAGAGGGAGAAACUGUGCCGAAGUCGCGGCGGCUGCGGGCCAGCGGAAAGCGGCUUCUUGGCGGGCGCGGGGACUCCUCUGGGCGGGCGGCGAGGACGGCCGAGGACCAGAAACGAAGGCAGCAGAGGAGCAGGAAAGUCGGAGAAGCGAGGCUGGAGACAGCAGAGGCGAGGGUGGGAAG